rnacentral:lncRNA from 1 species
CUGUAUUCUCCAUCUUUCAUACGUCUUUUCUUUUACUAUAAACCUCUCUCUCCCUCUCAUUAAACAAGAAACUAGCACUUCAUGAUCUCAAGGCUCUUGAAUCUUAUAACCAUUUGUCAAGUUUUAAAUCUGGGUCAGUGAUCAUUAAGGCCAAAACAUUAAAGUUUUGGAAUCUCCAUCCACCCUUUGUUUUGUCUAUUCUUUCCUGUUCCAAUUCUCUCACAAACACAAACUACACAACCAACCAGUCAUUGAUCUUGUAAGGUGUAUGUGGUUUGAGAAGGAUACAUAUAACUUCUUUUGAUAUAUCAUGUUUCUCAAUGAUGAGGUUAACUAGAAGAACAUGAUGUUGCAUCCAAAGCUAGUGGUAGGUGAAGAUACCAACAUGUUUCGAUUGAGACUAAGAGAGUAAUUGUGUUGCAUGUAUGUUAACGUACACGGUCAUGAUUUUGGGUCUUCUAACUUUGUCCAUUUUGGUGUUACCAUUGGUGUUGCCUCCUUUGCCACCACCACCAUUGCUUAUUCUCUUUGUUCCUGUUUUCAUCAUGCUCCUUCUCUUUCUCUUGGCUUUUUCACCUUCCACGCUUCCUAACAUGGCUUCCUUUGGUUCUUGAUGUGUGUAACAGUUUUCAAGAUCUGUGUAUGUAAGUUCCAGAAAGAAUAAUGAGUAAUGGAAUCUGGUGAAAUAUGAUGAGCUUCUUAUCUUUCUUAUUUUUG